AUUGCUUCUUGGCCUUUUGUCUAAGAUCAAGUGUAGUAUCUGUUCUUAUCAAUUUAAUAUCUGAUACACUGUCUAUCUCAUGACAAUAUAUUAGAUGGAUUUUUGGCACUAGGAACUGGGAUAGGAGCUUGUUCCAUCCAUUCCACGCAUGGACCUGGUAUUGCAGUACCUUCAGGAACGGUGCACCCCCU